GCGCCUGUGGCUCAACUGGAUAGAGUAACGGACUUCGAAUCCGUUGGUUACAGGUUCGAAUCCUGUCAGGCGCACCA
rnacentral:tRNA from 2 species